AGUGAGGUAAAUCUUCCCCUCUUCAGUCAUUAGUGUCUACUUGAGACAGAAGCAAAACACGGCAUUCACAUGCCCUCGUUAAAAAAAUAAACAGUAACAAAGAUUGAUGUUUUACACAACAAAGGCAAUAAAAAUUAUUUUUUUCUAUCUGUUUUAAGGCCCUAAGAUAUCAUCAUAAGCAGUUUGAGUCUUCUGGUCGUUACAUACUAACAAAGACCUUGUUUUUUCUACAUCAGUUAUCAAAAUGAUUCUCCUUCCCUUUUUUCUUAAGAAUCUGCUCAAAACUUGUAAACAUUAAAAAUACCUCACAAUACUUCCUAUUUCCACAUUAGUUUUUGAUUUCACCAUCCUAUUUCUAUAUUAUUUGAUGAUUUUACCAUCUUUUAUUACUAAUGCAUUACUCAUAUAAUCCACAUUCAAAGAUCUUUAUCUUGGUGAUCCUGCUGCCUAUACCUUACUGAAAUUGUAUUUUUGGCUAAGAUACAAUAGCUUACAUAUUGAUCACCUAUCAUGUCAUAAAUACAGGAGAGAAACAGCAUGAGCAGGAAGGAUUUAAGUGCCAAGAAAGGACAGCAACAAAGCUGCUGGGCGAAGCCACAUUAACGUUAUAAAGCGUGGUCAGUAGGUUUUCCAAAUCCUUUGGAGUACAAAGGCUGAACUUCGUUAGUUUGAACAAAACAUAUGAAAGAUCCAAUUAAUUUAUUAUAAAAUUCUUUAGUAAUUUAAGCAAGUCUCCUUGCAUUUCAGUGUACAAAACUGACUUAAGUACUGAUUAUUGCCCUGGGUGCUUAAAGAAGCAGCUUAAUCUGUAGGCAAUAACACAAAACUGUACGAUGAUACUCACAAGCUCUUGUUAACGUAGGAGAAAGAACCCCUUAGAAUAAGAGACAGUUUCAAAACACUCUCAGUGCUGCAAAAAACACAUGCAGCCUACCAGUGAGAGGCUUUACUCUGAAAUCCAGCCCAGGGCACUGUUAGACACAGAGAUUUCUCUCUGCCGUGAGGAGUUACAUAGCAAAAAAAAAUGUCAAACCUCCCUUUGUUUCCAGGCCUGUAAUCACUUACUGUCACACUCCAAAACUACAACAAUGUAGCCUUUAACAAACCCAUCAAACUUAGGAGUUAUACUACUUAACCUGUAUAAAUGUUUCACAGAAUUUAUUAAAAAAAAAGCCACCUGUCAUAACGUUUUAAUUAUGAUGUAUUUAAUCACUUCAGCCAAAAGCUCCAAUUUUGUCAUUCAGAAAACGUAGCCUGAAUUUCAUCUGUUCUUUGAAAAGCUGUGAUAUGAAAUUAACUCUUUGGCCACAAUGAAGUCUCGUUGUCUUCAGCAGCACCAUAAUUUCACCCUUCAUUAAUACAGAAUGUCCAUAAAAUGACAUUUGUGUUAAACAUAUAUUUGCAACAUAUAUUUUUAUCAUCAAUGAUAAAAUUUGAUACCAAUGAGAAUGGCAUCCAAAACUGCUGUGAACUGAGAGACUUCCGUUAUUUUUCUUUGUUGCUUAAUAUAGAAAAUACGUAUCAUUAGUUGUAGUAGGUUUCAGGUAAAAAUUUCCCAGCAUUGGUGGCUCAAGCAGAUUAUUCAUGUGUGAUUGUACAACAUUUCCCUUGUAUGAAGUAAAAAACGUGAAAGAGAAGAGUGAGUAAGAAACUGGUAGGGAUUUACAGCACGUCAACCACCUUCAUGGGUAACUUCUGUUGGCUUGGAUUUUUGGAGCAGGAAAAGUGAAAGGACAUCCAGUCUAAACCAGAUCUAUCUGAUAUUUAAUUCUGUGUGUAUGAGGCAGGAAAUAGCUUUGCAAUGCAGCAAUUUCCUCCCUAGAAAAGCAACUUACUUUGCAAAUAUUAAAGUCAAUAGAGCUGCAUGUCUCUGCCCAUAAGCAUUUAGCCUGAAGUGCAUGAUGGCAAUUUUGAUUGGGGAAAUAAAUUCUUUCAGAUAAAGUGAUCUGCAGGAGAGAUAACAAAAGAAGCCUAUCCUGAAGGACUUGGUCAGUAGUAAGGGAUUUUCAUAUUCAUGUCACUCUGCUGCAGCAGAAAAAUACUGAUUUUCCAGUUUAUUUACCUGAGCUGUUUGGAUUGGAGAGGUGAAGUUUCAUUACUUACCACACAAGGCAGUCAUGUAACACAGCUUUGGUGUGCUGCCCAAAGCACUAGUAAUGACAAGGUUUAGUGCCAUUGUACAUCUGUUCCAGGAAUUCCUGGGAAAAGCAUGGGAACUUGGUUUAAAUGAGAAAUCAUAAGUUCAUGUUGUGGAUUUCUUACAAUAUUAAAUACAGUUUCCAAUUUCUUUUUUAUUUUUCUUCUGCCCUCUUGACUUCAAUACCUCUGUCACUGGUUACUAUCUUUAAACCAGAAGCUGUUGUGAAUGGAAACGAUAUCUACACAGUACUUGUUGGAGCACCUCAUUCUUGACAGGCAGCCCUUGGCACUGCCUCAACAAUGCCACAGCACCAGAUGAGAUUUUUCAGUGACAGACAGGCAAUACCUUUUUCAAUUGAAUCAACAGAGCUGGAUUUAGAUGCUGCAGGAGCCUGAUGGAGACAACAAAAAUUCUGGUGCAGGAGACCUGACAAGUUCAAGACCUGGUUCUGAUCUGGAUGCCAGUUGUUUCGCAGAGUACAAGAGACAAAGAAUUGUCCAGGCACUGUAUGAUGGUGCUGAAAGGUAAAGGGUAAUAUCAUUAAGGAGAAGAACCUUACUGGAUAAUUUUAGUUAUAGAGUCAAUUUUUUUUCACAGAAGGACUAAAAAGAUAUACCUUUGUCAUCAUGUGUUUUAUCCACCUAAGUGUCCUUGUUUAAAAAAGUAUCACUGGGUAAUGGAAUAAGCGAAUCAAUUCUAAAGAAUUCAAUUGCAGCACCCUGAGCUGCAUGGAAACAUUGCACAGAUUUAAUGAUUUCUGUCAUAUCAUAACAGCAGCAUUUGUUUCCUCAAAGUUAAACACGAGAAUCCCCUGCAUUUUGUUCCUGUUUAUCAUGGCUUUAAACCUUCACCUUCAGAAAAGAGUCAAAUGGUGGGAAGCAAAGGAAAGAAAAAUAUCUUUUAGUAUCUUGCAGUUUGUACAUGUCGUGUGCUGUUGAACUCCUCGGAGCUGGCCAGCUCCAAUCACUGUAGAAAAUUUGUUGAUUUUUUCUACACAAGCACAGAAAAGCAACUUUUUAUGUCAGAGUGAUGAGCCACUAGAGGCACAUGACAGUCAAAACUUCAUAGUGGACCUGUUUGUGAACAAGAAACGUACCUUUUUCUUGGUGGGGGGGGUUAUAAGUUGACACUUACUGGAGUAAGUGCCAUUGGAAUAGCAGCUUCCUGAAACAGGUGUGAUGGCGGGAUAAUCCUUGGAGGGAUGUCAGUGAGCUGCAAAAUGUGUUUGGAAGGGCUGUGAGCAGCACCUCACGUUUCAGCUGACAAGGUAACUUGCCCACCUUCAUGCUGUGGGGGCAGUCCCCAUAUCUUUAGGUAUAGUGUAGGAGUUGAAUCAACUCUUCAUGUGGUUUGAGCAGAAAGAAAUGCUUUGAACAUAGAAGGAGAACCAGACCCUUAGUCUGAUGGAUGAAUGCCAGUGUUCAACAACGGAAUGGGCAGGUACAUAGGAUGGUAUCUCUGAAGAAACUGUUGCAUUCUCCUUUUAAAACUCCAUAAAGUGUUCAUGUUCCCACGCUUGUCCUCGCAUCCCCCUGUAGAGCUGAGAUGUGAUUAAUUCCUCAAUUUUCUUUUUCAAUUUCACUCUGCAUUUUUUUUCAAACAGACGAGAAACUGUUGUCUUCAUUGUUUACAUGAGCCACGUCACUGAAGAUUUAGUGUGCAGUCAGAGCAUGCUCAUUGGCAACAUCCUUUAGAACACAACAUCAUCAUUCUUUGAAUUACUACAUCCUUUUGCUAUAGGGAAAGAGUCUAUUUUGAAAUAUUUACAGUGUCAGAGUUCACAGUGGAAGAGCAAAUGCUUAGUCCUUAGCAGGACCUAUUUUAAUAGAAAUAGUGAAUCUGCCAUGUCACCCAAACCUGGAGCUGUUCUGCUUACCUGCUCUCGUGUCACUGGUGCCAUGAGGAUACUGGAAACACUGGGAACCCAAGGGAAGUGCAGUGAUGGGGAGCAAUAAUGGUGGUUACAGACAGCAUAGAGGUAACAGACUGUUCAGAACCAGGAGGGCUUGUGAUUUAGGUACUUAAAUAAUCAAACAUUUUUAUUGGAAAGAAACCCAACAGAAUGUAGUCAAAAUGGAGACCGUAAUUUCUAUGACAGCAAGAGGACCUUCAUUUCCUUGGGGAGAAGAAAGGGAGGAGUUGAGUGAUGGAAAGAAAACAGGCUUCAGUUCUGAAGUACCUUGGAUUGCCCAUAUCAAAAAUAAAAACACAAAUCCCAGUAGGAAGGUGCAGGAUUUAGCACUUUGGGCUGCCAGCCUGACACAUUUCCACUGGAGAGAGCUGGGGAAAUGGCCUAAAUGCUUUGAUAUAUUUAACCUGCUGAAAAACAUACAAUUAGAAUUCGUGUUCAUGGUAUUUGUUUCUGAAUAUCACACACAGAAAAUAAUAAGAAAAAAAUGAACAGGGAACAGCUUUCCAUGGAUGAGACUUCCAUAUUUAUUGUUAUUCCAUGUGCAUAGAAAAUGGCAGUGAAGUUCCUUAUGAAAUAGGCAGGGAAUGGGAGAGGUGUGGAUGUACUGGACCGGAUUUUGUGCUUCAAAAUUACACUAUUCAUUUUUUAAAGUUUGGGCUUUUUUUCUCUUGGAUUUCUUUUUGUGCACUAUGUUUCAGAUUCCUUUUCCAAUGACACACUGCAUUACAAAUGGAUGGCACUUGAGACCGAGGUGGCGUUUCCAUAUUUACACGCACGCAGAAUGUACACGACGCAGCAGCAUACAAUCCUGACAUUUAGUAAUAGCGAGGAAACAGGGGCAGCCGGCGGAGUUUUUCUGUACAAACUAUCAGACCAAGACUUUUAUUCACAUAAAAAAAAAUCAGCUUUAAUUUGCUCUGACCUACACACUUUCCAAAUUCAUUGUACUCAAUUCUCAAACCUUUCAUCACAUCGCCCACACCCUCACCAGACUACAGGAGCUACAAGUAAUGAUACCUAACACCUAAACAGAGCAAAACCGUCCCUGCCAGUUUUCCUCCUGACAAUUCCUCUCUCAAAAAAACCCCAAAACAAAUCUUCCUUGUUCCUUCUUGUCUUUCACUUUCGCAUUUCAUAACCAAAGCCACUCGGGGCCGUUCCAGUCCUUCUCGAGCCAGACGAGAACCACGCUGGGUUGUUCUCUCUGGUGCUACACCCAGGAGUCAGGGGAGCCCGGGUACUGUUCUGCUCGGUAAGAAGAUCGUCUGGUGGAAUAAAAGUCUACAUAAUUGGUGGUUGAUUUCAGUCCAUACUGUGUUGUGUAAUCUGAAGCAGCAGGAAAGUGAACUCGGUCGUCGAAGUAGGGGUCCUCGUAGCUGUGUGGGGACUGCAGGUACAACCGGUAGGCAUCGUAGUUUUUCCUGGUGGUAUCUUCUUGGCUGUAGUAUAAUUGCUGAUGCUGCUGGCAAAAUGAUAGAAAAAUAAGCUUUCAAGGUAUAAUCAACAGAGAAAAUACUUGUUUCUCAAACUCACACACAUUGUAAAGAACCUUUCCCAAGUGCAGCUCUACCAGUGACAGUAACACAGGUCUCAAACCUCCGUGAAAUGUACCCAAGGAAGUGGUACAUUUCCCUGAGCCUGCUGCAUGUCUCCUCCCACACCCCCGGGAAGGGAGCACAACUUCAGAGCGCAGGUGUAGGAGGUACAGAACCUGACCAUACCUACGAACCCCCCCAAGCCCAAAUCAAAUCAGAGCAGAGGUCUCGGACCCCGCCGUGAGAACUCGUAAGGGAGCAGGCGCAGCAGCCCCGGGGCUGGCACAGGGCAGUGCCCAGAGCCACAGCCCCCUGCUGAGCCUGGGCAGCUCUGGGCUCACCUGCAGCCGUCGGUUCUGUUCUCUCGCUGGUGAGGAAUAGGAACUGAUGUAAAUUGGGGAAGCUUUGCUGGAACCUGGCAGAAAACAGUUUAAGGAUAAACUUCAGUCUUUAUUCUUCCACCUCUUAAGUCUAUUGGCUUCUAUUUUGCCUAUUAUGUAGCACUCAAACAAUUAAAUCUGCAGAUUUUAGCAUCUACUAAUGUAGAUAUAUAUAAAAUGUAAUAACAGAAUUAAGGCAAAUGUUGUCCCUCAGCAGCAGUUACAGUGAAGCCAAGAGGCUUUUGUUGCUGGUUUUUGUUUUACAGAUUCAUAAUGUUUAAAACAAGGCAUUUCCUUCUCCUUAGAGACAAUCAUCUACUAAUGUGCAACUUGUGUCACAUAGUGAGAAGGAAAAGGGAUAUCAGAGAAAAGAUUCUGAUCUUUUGGUAUAAUUUAGUAAUAUAAUGUUAUAAUAUACAACUGCAUGUUAUAAUUUAUAACAUCAUCAUAUAAUGUGAAUAAAACAAUUUUCUGUAAUAGUACUUGAAAUAAAAAUAAGAAUUCCAA